AGGAAGGGGAGGGUGGGACCGGAACCCGGGGCCACGCCCCCUCCCCGCCCAAGUGGGAGGUGCCAUUGUCCGGAGGCGACGGAAGGCUCAGGCCGGGGUAAAGCCCUCCUUUCUCACCUUGACCCAAGGAAAUAUUGAAUGAACUCAAUUUCCAGCUCAGUGGGGAUCGAGAACACUCAGAGCCUUGCAAAAGCAGGCCUACAGAAAGGCAGAAAUCUUUGAUACUACAGACACCUGCUCAAAAUGUAUAUUCAGAAAGGAUAAAUAACAUUAGAAGACUGUCAGUGAAAUAAAUGUUCUAAUUUUGAGUGGUUACCUAUUCUACAGAAAGGGGAGAUGCAUGAUAAAAACCAAUUACAACCUACGAGCAAUGAACUGAGGCUCAUCCUGCAAAAUCCUUCCAGAUUUAGAACUCUCCUAAAUCUUUGUAGAUCAUAUCCAUUAACAUGAUCUACAAAAUUAGCCAGGACUGUAAUUUCAGAAUCUCAAGAUGGGGAGAAAAAGAUCUUUUUCUACUGGCACACUUUGCAUUUCUAAACAGUUCUAGUCAAAAGAUAAAUUUAGAAGUGGGAAUAUUGAAUGCCUAAUAAACAUGGUAUACCCCA